UCACUGCGACCUCCGCCUCCUGGGUUCAAACAAUUCUCCUGCCUCAGCCUCCUGAGUGGCUGGGAUUACAGGUGCCCACCACCAUGCCCAGCUAAUUUUUGUAUUUUUAGUAGAGACGGAGUUCCACCAUGUUGGCCAGGCUGGUCUCAAACUUCUGACCUCAUGAUCCGCCCACCUCGGCCUCCCAAAGUGCUGGGAUUACAGGCGUGAGCCACCACGCCUGGCCAUGAUCAUGCAUUUCUUUGAGUUUUUGUCAUUCCAGCUGAAGAGGGACCAUUUGGUGUUCAAUGGAUGGUCACAUGCAAACAUUUAAAACAUUUGAAAGGAUACAACGCACCAGGGAGACUACUAUUGUGACUGUCAGGAGGAUAAUACCAAGGGUUUGAAGUAUGUUCCUUAGCCAGGGUCCCUGUGAACCCAACCAACGAAAACUGAAUAGAUCAAACGGAUACUUGUUUUGCUUGGUGGAUGGCCUUUGCCCUAAGUUGUCUGACCUGUGACCACGGAGCCCUUGUUACACAGAAAUUUUCUUGAAACAGGUAGGUUUGCAUAGGCUGUUCCAGUGCAGAACACACAAGAAAGGACGCAGUGUCAAUAGAAACCAAUCCUGAAUAAAGUCAGAGAGUUCAACCAAAAGGAGGGAGUUUGAAUUCAAGAUAGAACUAAACCACAUGGAAUAAAGAUUACUCAUGGAAGCUGAGAGUGCAAUGGACUCAGAUGAUUUUCAGCCAAUCUUGAGGGUGAAAGGCCUUUCCUGGCAUACAACACCUGAAGUCCUUGAAAUCUCUAUAGCAUCUAUGAAAGUCAUAGCCCACCUGAGGAAAACCGGGACAAAAGGGAGUUUUUAAAGACAAAGAGAAAUCCACACAAACCGCUUUGAAAGUGUCAACCUAAAAAAAAUGUAGAGAAAAUUAUCUCUAAAUAUGUUGAGUUUACUUGGGAAUGAGAAGAA